CCCGCUGUGGCGUAGUGGUUAUCGCACCAGACCGUUAUUCUGGAGGUCGUGGGUUCGGAUCCCACCCGGCGGGC
rnacentral:tRNA from 1 species